AGUGAACGCUGGCGGUAGGCCUAACACAUGCAAGUCGAACGGCAGCACAGUAAGAGCUUGCUCUUACGGGUGGCGAGUGGCGGACGAGUGAGGAAUACAUCGGAAUCUACUUUUUCGUGGGGGAUAACGUAGGGAAACUUACGCUAAUACCGCAUACGACCUACGGGUGAAAGCAGGGGGUAUUCGGACCUUGCGCGAUUGAAUGAGCCGAUGUCGGAUUAGCUAGUUGGCGGGGUAAAGGCCCACCAAGGCGACGAUCCGUAGCUGGUCUGAGAGGAUGAUCAGCCACACUGGAACUGAGACACGGUCCAGACUCCUACGGGAGGCAGCAGUGGGGAAUAUUGGACAAUGGGCGCAAGCCUGAUCCAGCCAUACCGCGUGGGUGAAGAAGGCCUUCGGGUUGUAAAGCCCUUUUGUUGGGAAAGAAAAGCAGCAGGUUAAUACCCCGCUGUUCUGACGGUACCCAAAGAAUAAGCACCGGCUAACUUCGUG
rnacentral:rRNA from 1 species